GCCAUGCCAGCACAAUGACUGACCAUGGAAGUUCCACAUGGCUGCAGGCUGCACCCUGUCAGCUGUCAUGGGCUGAGAUGGCUGUGGCUGGCGGUUUGCCCCUGAGGGCAGGUUUGCCCCUAAGGCCAAGCGUGGAGCUGCAAAACAUGCUGUGGGCAUUUCUGCCAUCGGGGCUUCUCCUCUGGUAAGUGAUGCUCAUCUUCCCCAUCAGACUCUCAGCUCUCCCUGCCCAAUGCUCCUCUAAAGCAGGGAUUUCACUGCCUGGUGUUUGGGCAUCUAAAAGCAAGCAGUGUUGGUGACUGAGGAGGUCUCUCCCCCAUGAAUAACAUGGCUGAAGUCUUGUUGGGUCAGUGAGUGGUUGUGGUCAGCAGCCAGCAUGGCACCACGCAGUGAGAUGAGACUCCUACCACACAGCAGCACUGACCUACAAGCAGCAUCUUGUCCUCAGGGAUGGGAUUUCCUGCUGCAUUUAUCAGCUUUGUCAGGACAAAGAGCUCGGCCAGGAGCUGGACCAGCCUCUGGUAGUGAGGGAGGAUGAGCAGCAGCAGGGACCAAGAUACAUACACAUUUAAUGUUAUGGCCAAAGCCAAAUGCAGUCAGAGAGAAGUGCCCAGGAGAUAAUGUAGGCUGGGGCAACAGCAUGCAGGAGGGGAGGGGAGAGAGAGAGCUGCCAAGCCCAUGAGGACAAGUGAGAAAUGCUGGGAUGAUAUUAAAUCCAGCAGGAAAGCCACAUGUGAUGAAGGCACAUGCAUGGAGCUGAACGAAAAGUGGCACUGCUCUUGGAGCUGGGGUGUGGGGAUGAAACACUCCAUGCUUUCCCUGGCAGAGUUUGGUUUUGCCAUUUGUUUGCCUCAAAAUGAGACUGACCCCCCUAUUCACUGAGUGCUUUUGCAGCCUUUUUUUUUUUUUUUAAUUGUCUCCGCGAAAUCUGGUGUUUUGUCUGCUGUGGCCUAGUGUUUACCAGCAAGAAGUCUUUGACAAAAUACUCAUGAUCAGCAAAGACACUGCAGUGGGAGCAGUGCUUAAAAAAUGCCACUGUCUGGGGCACACUGGGACCAGUGUUUGGGCUUCUGAUGCUCUCUGGUUUGAGGUGUAGCAACAGGCAGAGGAGGAUUCCCUGAAGCACUUCGCCAGCCAGUGCCGAGCCCUCUCUUUCUCCGUUGAUGCUGCAGCUGAAUUGGAGCCGGGCACUCUCCCAAGGCGAGCAGAGCUCGGGUGAGGAGCUGGUUGAAACCCAAGCUGCUUCAGAACACGAAGGCCAGUUUUGACAAGGGAAUGAAAUCCAAGGCAGGGAAAGGAUGGAAUGCGGGGAAGUGUAAGUAGCCAUGCACCAAUGCUGGGCAGCCAGCAGCCUGCAGCCAGGCCACGCUGCAGGGGGACAUUAGAAAUUAGAGGACUGACCCCACCGCAACCACUACCACUGCAUGGCUUCCGGCUCAGGCAAGCACAACCAGGAGGUGCAGCCGCACCUUUUUCGGUUCUCACAGACAAACUGGAAGGAGGUUACAGAGAGCGAUGAGGACCAGGUCAGUGGAGGCUGAAAGCAAUCAGCACUGCCAGGAAUCAGCCCUUUUCCAGCAGCAGCCCUUUAGGUGGAUGAAGGAUUUGGCCGGUGAAAACAUUGCCAUGACCCUGGGGCACUGUGGAGUGCGUGGUAGGUCUUCAAGAACAACUAUCUCAAGGCAAGACAAGCACAUGGAAUUUUUCCCUGUGAUUCAGGAGGACUGGGCUAAGGCUGGCCACUCAUGAUGCAGAAACAGGUUUUUUUUCCAGCAGCAGAUGUGCAGCAGCAGGGACAAGUGGGGUGGGGAGGCACACACACCUCCCAUGGUCCCUCCCAUGCAGCCAGGCACUAUAGCGUCUCACUCCUGCUCCCCAUCUCUACCAUAGGGCCAGGUAGAGGGUGGUGGCAGUGGGGUCGUUCAGCCCAGCUAAUUAGCACUGCUAUUUCUAUCUCUAGCCUUUUCUCAGCUUGUAUCCAUCUGGGGCUCUCUUCGAUCAUUACAGAGCUUUCCACUCUCUUGUUUUUUAUUCUCUCUCACUCUGCCUUCCAGAUUUUUGCCACUGUUUCAUGUUGCUGUCCAAGUUAUUUGUCUUUUCUGUCUUGCUCUGGUCGUGGGAACAUUAGCAAUGUUUUUCUGUAGAGCAGGGUGGCUUAGAGACAGCCCUGCAGACCUGACAACUGUCCUGGUGUUGCUGGCAAGACUGGAGCAGCUCAGCCAGCCCCCGAUUGCCAAUCAUGUUCCCAGUUCAUUCCCAUCUCAUCUGCCCACAGCUCCUUGCUCCAACUGUGCCAUGAGACAUCGUCACAGCCAUGGAGCUGCACCCCAUGCGAGGAGUCCGGCAGGGUGUCGAUGUGGGGGCGCACGUGCAGGUAGACACCAGGUGCAAGCACUCCCAUUAAAUGCCAUUUCUUCCCUUGCUCUGGCCCAAAUCUGCUCCUUUUUUUACCUGGGAGAGCCACUGGGCCAGUCUGAAAUCAGAGAGGGAAAAUGGGCAGAGGCAGUGGGAACAAGAACAGUGGAAAUACAAAUGGGUUAUGUGCUUCCUUGGAUGGAAAGAGGCCCAGGUUGUUAAAUAGGAGGCAAUUUUAGCAUGAGUUAUUAUUAUUGGUUGUUUGUACUGGGAAGUGGUGCCUCGGGGCUCCCAUUCCACUAAUCAUGUAACAAAACUAUGUUCCUCACACAAAUAGCUUGUAUUUCAGCAUGCAGAGAACAAGCAGUCUCCUUCCCAUUAUCCCCCCUUGAAAAAACUGUAUGAAGAUUGCACAGUCAAGCCCACAAACACUGAGAAAGGAAAAAAUGACACUGGCCUGCCCUGUGGUGCCAUAGCUUACAGCCAUCCUGGAAGCCUCACCGUCACCUUCAGCUCCUCCUGUGUAUUCCAUUCGCAACUCUGGCAGGUCUCAGCUCUGCAUUGCUGUUAUUAGUGAUUUUUUGUUGCCCUUGUGUUUGGAGUUCGGGUGUAUUAACUUCACACGAUCUGUUUAGGAUGUUUAACACAGCAGUUCUCCAGAGUACAUGCCCCUCUGAAGUAAGAAACCAUUUAAUAAAUUCAAUUAUUAAUUCACAGCUUUGGCACCAAAACACAGACUAACUGAAGGUCAACAGCAUCCACUAAGUUUGGAUGUUACAAACCAAGACUGUCCUGCUGUUUCUCAGUUUUCUGAGGACUUGGCACAAUGCUGAGCUGUGCCAUGUCAAGUCACAUCUCCUCCUGCACACACAUGGGCAAGUCUUUACUGUUUUAGCAUUCCAGAUGUCACAGAGUCUGCUGCUGCUUCUGUCAUGUCCGUGCCUGAGGCGUGCCUUCUUUAGCCACAGCGGGACAGGCUACAGAGGGAUGGUGGAGGGGGAUGGUGCCUUGCUGAGCCUGCAACUGUGUGUAACCAGUGCUCACCAGGACAUCAUAUUGGUGGAGAAAGCCCCCAACCCAUGAGCUGGUCCUGGAGCUCGACCAUGCUCUAGGCAGAUUUUGACUGGCAGCGCAUGAGAGGAGGUAGUGUGGCUGCUAUCAAACCCCAGUCCUGCCACAGGCUCUCCUUCACACUAUGAACCGCUCCAAGGCCACUCCUCCUGCCUCACUUUCUUCUCACCUGGUCAGGCAACACCUCUCCAUCCUGCCCAAACUUUAAGCUUUUAAGCUCUUCAAGCUCUUCAAACUUGAUGUCAAAAGCUUAAUAACAGCUGAAGAGUGAGGGGAAAAAAAAAAAGCCAUGAAAAGGCCUUUUCAACCAAGGCCUUGUCCUUGGAAAUGAUUAAGCAGUUUUGGUCAAGCUAGGAGUCAGGCAAAUACUGAGCACUAGGAGAGUGGUAUGGGUCUUGCAGAGAUAAAUGCAAUCGAAACAGAAGUCUUGAAAUGAGAUUGUCUUGAUCACCUUAAAAUGAAGCAGCCCUACAACUCCUUCUAGUGUUUGCCUCAACUAAAAGGACAUUGCUUGCUCUGGAUGCACACUACAUACAAGCCCGCAUGACUGCUAUACUUAACUGGAACACUCAUUAAAUCAGUCCAAGAUCUUCACUUUGAAUUAGACUGCAUUUAAGCAUUUUGAAGGCCACCCAAUGAUCCACCAGAGCGACCAUGUGCAGACUAACCCAGCCAGACUUCCCCAGUCCUAUGCUUCUUCCUAGGUGGCCAAAUCUUUGGCAGAGAUGCUUGCUAAAUGAGGUAAGAAAAAACAGCCUCCAUAUAGCAGGACAGACUCUUAACACAGCUUGGCUUUGACCUCUGAAAUGCCCGUGGCUGGAAGUUAAUCACAUUGGUUCCUCCUCUCCUUUCAAAAUUUUGUCUUUGUGAGACUGCAGUUUCAUGUAUUCCUCCAUUCUGCAUCCCCUGCCCCCCUCCCCUGAGGUUCUUCUUUAAAGAGAAGGUCUUGACUCCCUGUUGAUAUUUAAAAUGGGAAUGAAAUGAAGCAAUCAGCUGGGAAGCACAAACAGAAAAGUGAGUGGACAUGAGUGGAACUGAUACACACUGAUCACAACCAAUCCGCCCAGUUUAACUGAAAAAGAAACAACUCCCUCCCCCAAGGAGAUAUUUUAAAAGCUAAAAGCUAAGAACUUAAGUACAAAGGCUUUUGUGUUUUUAUUGACAUUGUAAGAAACAUUUUUUUCUUUGUUACAAAAGAGCUAAGUGGUUCUGAAAGCAGAAGUACAGUUCAUAUGUACACAGUGCUACAGACCCUUCAGAUCAACCUAAGGCUCAAGAAACAACAGAUCAUAACUGCAGGUUUAUCAAAUGAAGAUCACUAAGGCCAGUUACAGCCAAACACUAUUCCUACUGUACGUAAAUGUAUUUACACUAUUACAAAAAGAAAAAAGAAAAAAAAAAGGAUUACAAGCUUUAUUUAAAAAAACAACUAAAAAAGUUUUAAAAUGAACACAUUUUUAUCUUACACAUCUGCAGGACUGACAACAGUAACUUUUCAAUAGGCGACAUUCUAUCAAUCCAAAGACAAUAACACAUGAAUAUCAGAGGUUUACAAGACACUUGAGACACUAUUAACAGUGAUAUGUGCUAUCAGCUGAAUGGUAAAUACAGCCUCAUUGUGAAAAUUUGUCAACAUAUCUUGGUCCCUCUCUGUCACAGGAUAACACAAAAUAAGGCACAUACAUUGCGAGAAUAUAAACACUGCUGUUCAGAAGGAUGAGCCACUGUGCAACACGUGUGGGUGAGCUAACCAGCUAUGUCAUCAAGAGAGAGGGAGGGGAAGGAGGCAAUGACUGGAAGCAAGCAAGUGAGCCAGGGUUUCAAUGCAUGUGUCAUUUGGGACCAUUCUCCAAGGAGAGAAUAAGAUUAUCUGUUGUGUGGACAUACUAGGCCAUAGUACUUACCAGCAACCCCCUGCUGGAAGCCCACUGACUUGUUCGCAAAAAUACCUUUAAUCCACCCAGUCUACUUUAUGGACGAGCUCUCACAGGUGACUCCAAAUUUGUGGAAAGUAAAAAGGUCUGUAAAAAUGUGAGCAAGGCAGAUGUGCCCAAGGCCAACAGUAAUUGAUGUGGAAGAUCCUCAAAGAGCCAUUAGAAAAAAGGGUGAUUUAGAGUCAGGCUGUGACCACUGCAAUGCUUUUAAAAAAAAAAAACAGGAGAAAAUCACAAAAACUCCUGCAUUUUCUAGUACUUCAUGGUGAGUGGUGGGCUUCCAACUGCCAAAUGCAUCAAACACACAAAAGCAAGCUUCAGCUCUGUGACUGGAAGACCAGGAGGGUGCUAAGUAAACUUGUGAGUGACAUUGGUGGGAUUUUCCCCAGACUAUCACACAUCCAGAAGGUGGUUACCAACUUAACGCCAGUGUCCAGCCUUACAGUGCCAUGUUCUGAGAGCCUGCUCUACCUCAUCAAAACAAAACAAAAAAUGAAGAUAGCUGGGCUACGAUGUAUUGGUACCUUCACAGAUGUCAACAAAUCAGGUUCUUUAGCAUCAAAAACAAAAGUAUGAUAGGAUAAUAAAAGCUGAGAAGUGAUAUGUUUAUGUAAGAAAAGAGGCACAUACGCUUCAAUGGUGAAAAUGAUAUACCAUUAGAACAAACUCUCCAGGGACAUUGUGGAAUUUCUGUUUCUUUGUCAUCCCCAAAUCAAAACUAGAUGACUUUCUCAAACAUGUGGUUUAGGCCAAGACACAUUGUUGGCCUGAAACAGGGCUAAGUGAGUGACAAAGGUUUGUCAAGUCCAGGAAGGCAAAUCAGAUACUCAAACAGUCCCUUCUAGCCUGAAGCAAUGUGAAUGGAUUCUCCUAAGCUCUGAUGAAUCAUAUCUUUCCCAGCUUCAAUUGAACCAGCAAAUACAAUUAUAAACUGGAAAACUGAGUUCAAAAAAUUCUUCUUUUUUAAUGUAUUGGUUCUGUAAUAAUAAAAGGCUUCUUUCCUAAGCCACCUCUUCCCAGCCUAGUCAUAAGCCUCACCAUUGAAAUUGUUUAUAAACAUGUAAUUGAUGGCUUAUUGAACAUCCAGCCACUGGUUACCACAAAGCACUCGAAAUACUUCCAGCUGAUGUGAGCACAGCCUUUCCUAAUGCUCUUUCUCAGCAGGAGCAUGAGCUAUUAAUACCAUAGCACCGCAAGGUAAAGUGUGGCAAUAGAAGCAUCCCUCUAUCCAAACCAGCUGACUGUCUUGAUAAGCUCUGCUCAGUUCCCUCUGAAGGCUGGAGACCACUACAGAAGGGCUGUCAGAUCUGACAAUGGGCAGGAAGGUCAGGAGGGGAACCAGCAAUGGGCAAAGAGCACAAAGGGAGGGAGUACACGUGCGUAAUGCAGAUGAGAAGAAAUGCUUGUUAAAGAUAUGGAGAAAAACAGGAGCAGGACAAUGAUAAAAGCUGUAGGACACUGAGGAAAUCUUUUUAUUUACAUUUGUCUUGAUCUCUGACACUCCAGCUCACAUUUAAUAUGUGCUGUGAUAAGCCCAAGUACAGCCUCAGCAAUGGAUUCAUAUGUUUUCUUUCAGAUUUACAGCUUCUUCAUCUGCUUGUAACAGCUGAUAAUAGAUUGAUGUUAUCAGAGAACUCCACUUAGGCUGUAUUCCUACACAUUCCUCAAAUGCUAUGCCCUGAACAAGCUGCUAUUUCACCCUUUACUACAGUUAAAAAAAAAAAAAAAAAAAAAA